rnacentral:rRNA from 1 species
CACGUAGGGCGCAAGCGUUGUCCGGAAUUAUUGGGCGUAAAGCGCGCGCAGGCGGUCCUGUAAGUCGGACGUGAAAGCCCGGGGCUCAACCUCGGAAGUGCGUCUGAUACUGCAGGACUGGAGUACUGGAGAGGAGAGCGGAAUUCCCGGUGUAGAGGUGAAAUUCGUAGAUAUCGGGAGGAACACCAGUGGCGAAGGCGGCUCUCUGGACAGAUACUGACGCUGAGGCGCGAAAGCGUGGGAAGCAAACAGG